rnacentral:rRNA from 1 species
GUGCCAGCAGCCGCGGUAAUACGUAGGUGGCAAGCGUUGUCCGGAUUUAUUGGGCGUAAAGCGAGCGCAGGCGGUUCCUUAAGUCUGAUGUGAAAGCCCCCGGCUCAACCGGGGAGGGUCAUUGGAAACUGGGGAACUUGAAGUGCAGAAGAGGAGAGUGGAAUUCCAUGUGUAGCGGUGAAAUGCGUAGAUAUAUGGAGGAACACCAGUGGCGAAUGCGACUCUCUGGUCUGUAACUGACGCUGAGGCUUGAAAGCGUGGUUAGCAAACAGAGAUUGGAUACUCUGGUUAGUCC